GCGGGUGUAAUUCAGUGGUAGAAUGGCAGCUUCCCAAGCUGCACAUGGCGGUUCGAUUCCGCUCACCCGCU
rnacentral:tRNA from 3 species